AGACCCGAAACCCGGUGAUCUAGCCAUGGGCAGGUUGAAGGUUGGGUAACACUAACUGGAGGACCGAACCGACUAAUGUUGAAAAAUUAGCGGAUGACCUGUGGCUGGGGGUGAAAGGCCAAUCAAACCGGGAGAUAGCUGGUUCUCCCCGAAAGCUAUUUAGGUAGCGCCUCGUGAAUUCAUCUCCGGGGGUAGAGCACUGUUUCGGCCAGGGGGCCAUCCCGGCUUACCAAUCCGAUGCAAACUGCGAAUACCGGAGAAUGUUAUCACGGGAGACACACGGCGGGUGCUAACGUCCGUCGUGAAGAGGGAAACAACCCAGACCGCCAGCUAAGGUCCCAAAGUCAUGGUUAAGUGGGAAACGAUGUGGGAAGGCCCAGACAGCCAGGAUGUUGGCUUAGAAGCAGCCAUCAUUUAAAGAAAGCGUAAUAGCUCACUGGUCGAGUCGGCCUGCGCGGAAGAUGUAACGGGGCUAAACCAUGCACCGAAGCUGCGGCAGCGAACGUAUCACCCAAGACAACUUUGCACAGUUGACGAUUGACGGAGCGAAGCGACGUCAAAGCGUUUUACAACGUCGAGUUGGCUUAGGGAUACGUUCGUUGGGUAGGGGAGCGUUCUGUAAGCCGUUGAAGGUGUGUCGUGAGGCAUGCUGGAGGUAUCAGAAGUGCGAAUGCUGACAUAAGUAACGAUAAAGCGGGUGAAAAGCCCGCUCGCCGGAAGACCAAGGGUUCCUGUCCAACGUUAAUCGGGGCAGGGUGAGUCGACCCCUAAGGCGAGGCCGAAAGGCGUAGUCGAUGGGAAACGGGUUAAUAUUCCCGUACUUGGUGUUACUGCGAAGGGGGGACGGAGAAGGCUAUGUUGGCCGGGCGACGGUUGUCCCGGUUUAAGCGUGUAGGCUGACUUUCCAGGCAAAUCCGGAGAGUCAAGGCUGAGGCGUGACGACGAGGCACCACGGUGCUGAAGCAACAAAUGCCCUGCUUCCAGGAAAAGCCUCUAAGCCUCAGGUAACAUCAAAUCGUACCCCAAACCGACACAGGUGGUCAGGUAGAGAAUACCAAGGCGCUUGAGAGAACUCGGGUGAAGGAACUAGGCAAAAUGGUGCCGUAACUUCGGGAGAAGGCACGCUGACACGUAGGUGAAGCGGUUUACCCGUGGAGCUGAAGUCAGUCGAAGAUACCAGCUGGCUGCAACUGUUUAUUAAAAACACAGCACUGUGCAAACACGAAAGUGGACGUAUACGGUGUGACGCCUGCCCGGUGCCGGAAGGUUAAUUGAUGGGGUCAGCGCAAGCGAAGCUCCUGAUCGAAGCCCCGGUAAACGGCGGCCGUAACUAUAACGGUCCUAAGGUAGCGAAAUUCCUUGUCGGGUAAGUUCCGACCUGCACGAAUGGCGUAAUGAUGGCCAGGCUGUCUCCACCCGGGACUCAGUGAAAUUGAACUCGCUGUGAAGAUGCAGUGUACCCGCGGCAAGACGGAAAGACCCCGUGAACCUUUACUAUAGCUUGACACUGAACACUGGUCCUUGAUGUGCAGGAUAGGUGGGAGGCUUUGAAGUGUGGACGCCAGUCUGCAUGGAGCCAUCCUUGAAAUACCACCCUUUAAUGGCUGGUGUUCUAACGUGGACCCGUAAUCCGGGUUGCGGACAGUGUCUGGUGGGUAGUUUGACUGGGGCGGUCUCCUCCUAAAGAGUAACGGAGGAGCACGAAGGUUGGCUAAUCCUGGUCGGACAUCAGGAGGUUAGUGCAAUGGCAUAAGCCAGCUUGACUGCGAGCGUGACGGCGCGAGCAGGUGCGAAAGCAGGUCAUAGUGAUCCGGUGGUUCUGAAUGGAAGGGCCAUCGCUCAACGGAUAAAAGGUACUCCGGGGAUAACAGGCUGAUACCGCCCAAGAGUUCAUAUCGACGGCGGUGUUUGGCACCUCGAUGUCGGCUCAUCACAUCCUGGGGCUGAAGUAGGUCCCAAGGGUAUGGCUGUUCGCCAUUUAAAGUGGUACGCGAGCUGGGUUUAGAACGUCGUGAGACAGUUCGGUCCCUAUCUGCCGUGGGCGCUGGAAGAUUGAGGGGGGCUGCUCCUAGUACGAGAGGACCGGAGUGGACGCAUCACUGGUGUUCGGGUUGUCAUGCCAAUGGCACUGCCCGGUAGCUACAUGCGGAAGAGAUAAGUGCUGAAAGCAUCUAAGCACGAAACUUGCCCCGAGAUGAAUCUUCCCUGAGCCUUUAAGGCUCCUGAAGGAACGUUGAAGACGACGACGUUGAUAGGCCGGGUGUGUAAGCGCAGCGAUGCGUUGAGCUAACCGGUACUAAUGAACCGUGAGGCUUAACCUU
rnacentral:rRNA from 1 species